rnacentral:rRNA from 1 species
UUUAUAUGAGAGUUUGAUCCUGGCUCAGGAUGAACGCCGGCGGUGUGCCUAAUACAUGCAAGUCGAACGCGUUGGCUCAAUUGAUUGAUGGUGCUUGCACCUGAUUGAUUUUGGUCGCCAACGAGUGGCGGACGGGUGAGUAACACGUAGGUAACCUGCCCAGAAGCGGGGGACAACAUUUGGAAACAGAUGCUAAUACCGCAU